CCGAUCGCUAGAAACAGGCAAUUUGCUGUUCUGCCACUAUACUGGCGAAAACACGACCAGUAGAUCGAAAACACUAAGUCUAAACACAGAAAAAUGGAGAAUAACACUCGAGAGCCAUUAACUGAAGAAUCCAAUAACUAACUAACUUAGGUUACUGCUCUGAGUACUACCAAAGGUAGAAAGAUACCGUAGCCCUUUGUCGUUUCCGCAAGGCUGGAACAAUUGGCGACGAAGACGAACAUGAGCAGUGAGAUCUUAAGCACACAAAAAUAAAUAAAUAAACCAUCAGCUUCAUGUGUGCUAAAAUUAUCUUGAUGGGCACACGGCCAACAGCCUUCUACGACGCAGAAGAUUGCCCCACGAAGACCGUCAAAUUGCUAAGACUUACGCAAUUAUUACCUAACUUUAACGGUUUGAUGCACUGCUAGUUGUAAGACAAGAUUGCAUCUAUUGUACUAACAAUUGAGGAAAAGUCCAAAAAUAAAUUCUUCUUCCUAUGAA